rnacentral:rRNA from 14 species
UAACGGCCUACCAAGGCGACGAUCAGUAGCUGGUCUGAGAGGACGACCAGCCACACUGGGACUGAGACACGGCCCAGACUCCUACGGGAGGCAGCAGUGGGGAAUUUUCCGCAAUGGGCGAAAGCCUGACGGAGCAAUGCCGCGUGGAGGAUGAAGGCCUGUGGGUUGUAAACUCCUUUUCUCAGAAAAGAAUUAAUGACGGUAUUUGAGGAAUAAGCAUCGGCUAACUCCGU